UACGAAGGGGGCUAGCGUUGCUCGGAAUCACUGGGCGUAAAGGGUGCGUAGGCGGGUCUUUAAGUCAGGGGUGAAAUCCUGGAGCUCAACUCCAGAACUGCCUUUGAUACUGAAGAUCUUGAGUUCGGGAGAGGUGAGUGGAACUGCGAGUGUAGAGGUGAAAUUCGUAGAUAUUCGCAAGAACACCAGUGGCGAAGGCGGCUCACUGGCCCGAUACUGACGCUGAGUGCACGAAAGCGUGGGGAGCAAACAGG
rnacentral:rRNA from 1 species